GGAAGGGCCAUGGAGGACUUUCAACCAAAGAUGAGCAUUUUCUUGGAUACUUAAAGAAUAAAUUGUGAAAAGUUUGGGGCCACAGUUAGAACAUGAGUGAGGGAAGAGUCUCCUUUGCCAGGAGGACUGGCAAAGGGCCAGCUCACAGUGGAUAUUAUCGGCCAUGGCAAGUGCUUUACAAAUGACAAGAGACUUUUACUGAGGCCCAGAGAGAGCAGUACUUUGCCAAAUUUGGACUCAAACAUGGGUCUUUUGACCCUAAUUCCAGGUGUUUUCUCCCACAAUAAAGCUGCCUCUUGCAACAUGUUUUA
rnacentral:lncRNA from 1 species